CCAGCGGAGGGAUCAUUACCGAGUUUACAACUCCCAAACCCCUGUGAACAUACCACUUGUUGCCUCGGCGGAUCAGCCCGCUCCCGGUAAAACGGGACGGCCCGCCAGAGGACCCCUAAACUCUGUUUCUAUAUGUAACUUCUGAGUAAAACCAUAAAUAAAUCAAAACUUUCAACAACGGAUCUCUUGGUUCUGGCAUCGAUGAAGAACGCAGCAAAAUGCGAUAAGUAAUGUGAAUUGCAGAAUUCAGUGAAUCAUCGAAUCUUUGAACGCACAUUGCGCCCGCCAGUAUUCUGGCGGGCAUGCCUGUUCGAGCGUCAUUUCAACCCUCAAGCACAGCUUGGUGUUGGGACUCGCGUUAAUUCGCGUUCCCCAAAUUGAUUGGCGGUCACGUCGAGCUUCCAUAGCGUAGUAGUAAAACCCUCGUUACUGGUAAUCGUCGCGGCCACGCCGUUAAACCCCAACUUCUGAAUGUUGACCUCGGAUCAGGUAGGAAUACCCGCUGAACUUAAGCAUAUCAAUAAGCGGAGGAA
rnacentral:rRNA from 1 species